GACGAACGCUGGCGGCGUGCCUAAUACAUGCAAGUCGAGCGGAUUGAUGGGAGCUUGCUCCCUGAUAUCAGCGGCGGACGGGUGAGUAACACGUGGGCAACCUGCCUAUAAGACUGGGAUAACUUCGGGAAACCGGAGCUAAUACCGGAUAAUCCCUUUCCUCUCAUGAGGAGAGGCUGAAAGAUGGUUUACGCUAUCACUUAUAGAUGGGCCCGCGGCGCAUUAGCUAGUUGGUGAGGUAACGGCUCACCAAGGCAACGAUGCGUAGCCGACCUUAGAGGGUGAUCGGCCACACUGGGACUGAGAGACGGCCCAGAAUCCUACGGGAGGCAGCAGUAGGGAAGCUUCCGCAAUGGACGAAAGUCUGACGGAGCAACGCCGCGUGAGUGAUGAAGGUUUUCGGAUCGUAAAACUCUGUUGUUAGGGAAGAACAAGUACGAGAGUAACUGCUCGUACCUUGACGGUACCUAACCAGAAAGCCACGGCUAACUACGUGCCAGCCGCCGCCGUAA
rnacentral:rRNA from 1 species